CCGCAAGAAGCAGGAGGGUUCGGACCUGAGACCGCGCCACAGGAGGAAGGCCAGGAUCUGGGAGCGCAAGCCUCAUCUUGCAGCCUGAGGGAACAGCCUCAUAUUCAGGCUUCCUUUUGCCUUCUCUGCUUCACCUUGAUUGAAGCUACCCUUCUCUGCACCUUCUUUAAGACUAUCCUAAACAUCCUGCCAUUAAUUAGCUGAACAGCCCAUCUAGUAAACAAGACCGAUGGUUGAGGGGCUGGAAAAGAGG
rnacentral:lncRNA from 1 species